GCCGAAGUGGUGGAAUUGGUAGACACGCACGCUUGAGGGGCGUGUGGGGCAACCCGUGGGGGUUCGAAUCCCCCCUUCGGCACCA
rnacentral:tRNA from 1 species